AUCCAGCUAAGGAGUCCCAAAUAAAACGAAACACGUGUCCUGGAU
rnacentral:hammerhead_ribozyme from 1 species